CAGUAGCCACGGUAAUACGUAGGUGGCAAGCGUUGUCCGGAAUUAUUGGGCGUAAAGGGCUCGCAGGCGGUUUCUUAAGUCUGAUGUGAAAGCCCCCGGCUCAACCGGGGAGGGUCAUUGGAAACUGGGAAACUUGAGUGCAGAAGAGGAGAGUGGAAUUCCACGUGUAGCGGUGAAAUGCGUAGAGAUGUGGAGGAACACCAGUGGCGAAGGCGACCCUCUGGUCUGUAACUGACGCUGAGGAGCGAAAGCGUGGGGAGCGAACAGGAUUAGAUACCCCAGUAGUCCCUGUCUCUUAUAA
rnacentral:rRNA from 1 species